rnacentral:rRNA from 1 species
UGAGUAACACGUAUCCAACCUGCCGUCUACUCUUGGCCAGCCUUCUGAAAGGAAGAUUAAUCCAGGAUGGCAUCAUGAGUUCACAUGUCCGCAUGAUUAAAGGUAUUUUCCGGUAGACGAUGGGGAUGCGUUCCAUUAGAUAGUAGGCGGGGUAACGGCCCACCUAGUCAACGAUGGAUAGGGGUUCUGAGAGGAAGGUCCCCCACAUUGGGACUGAGACACGGCCCAA